rnacentral:rRNA from 1 species
AGAGUUUGAUCCUGGCUCAGAGCGAACGCUGGCGGCAGGCUUAACACAUGCAAGUCGAGCGCCGUAGCAAUACGGAGCGGCAGACGGGUGAGUAACGCGUGGGAACGUACCUUUUGGUUCGGAACAACACAGGGAAACUUGUGCUAAUACCGAAUAAGCCCUUACGGGGAAAGAUUUAUCGCCGAAAGAUCGGCCCGCGUCUGAUUAGCUUGUUGGUGAGGUAACGGCUCACCAAGGCGACGAUCAGUAGCUGGUCUGAGAGGAUGAUCAGCCACAUUGGGACUGAGACACGGCCCAAACUCCUACGGGAGGCAGCAGUGGGGAAUAUUGGACAAUGGGCGCAAGCCUGAUCCAGCCAUGCCGCGUGAGUGAUGAAGGCCCUAGGG